AGCAGCGUGGCUCAGUGGAAAGAGCACGGGCUUUGAAGUCAGAGGUCAUGGGUUCGAAUCCCGGCUCUGCCA
rnacentral:tRNA from 1 species